CAAUGAUGGUAGCCGGUUGAGAGACCGACCGGCCAGAUUGGACUGAGACACGGCCCAGACUCCUACGGGAGGCAGCAGUGGGGAAUCUUGCACAAUGGGCGAAAGCCUGAUGCAGCGACGCCGCGUGCGGGAUGAAGGCCUUCGGGUUGUAAACCGCUUUCAGCAGGGACGAGGCCGCAAGGUGACGGUACCUGCAGAAGAAGCCCCGGGCUAACUACGUGCCAGCAGCCGCGGUAAAU
rnacentral:rRNA from 1 species